GGGACGUUAGCUCAGUUGGUAGAGCAGCGGACUUUUAAUCCGUUGGUCGCGCGUUCGAAUCGCGCACGUCCUACCA
rnacentral:tRNA from 2 species